UAACCUGCGGCGGCUUACCAUGCNAGUCGAACGGUAGCAGGAGAAAGCUUGCUUUCUUGCUGACGAGUGGCGGACGGGUGAGUAAUGCUUGGGAAUCUGGCUUAUGGAGGGGGAUAACUACUGGAAACGGUAGCUAAUACCGCGUAAUAUCGGAAGAUUAAAGGGUGGGACCGAAAGGCCACCUGCCAUAAGAUGAGCCCAAGUGGGAUUAGGUAGUUGGUGGGGUAAAGGCCUACCAAGCCGACGAUCUCUAGCUGGUCUGAGAGGAUGACCAGCCACACUGGAACUGAGACACGGUCCAGACUCCUACGGGAGGCAGCAGUGGGGAAUAUUGCACAAUGGGGGGAACCCUGAUGCAGCCAUGCCGCGUGAAUGAAGAAGGCCUUCGGGUUGUAAAGUUCUUUCGGUGAUGAGGAAGGUAUCAAAUUUAAUAGAUUUGGUAAUUGACGUUAGUCACAGAAGAAGCACCGGCUAACUCCGUGCCAGCAGCCGCGGUAAU
rnacentral:rRNA from 1 species